GACGAACGCUGGCGGCGUGGAUUAGGCAUGCAAGUCGAACGGUAGGAUACCUUCGGGUAUCUGAGAGUGGCGAACGGGUGAGUAACACGUAGGUGAUCUACCCUCAAGAUUGGGACAACCCAGGGAAACUUGGGCUAAUACCGGAUGAAAGCAGCAGCGAUGUUGUUUGAAAGGUGGCGUAAGCUGCCGUUUGGGGAUGAGCCUGCGCUCUAUUAGUUAGUUGGCGGGGUAAAGGCCCACCAAGGCGAUGAUAGAUAGGCGGCCUUAACGGGUGGUCGCCCACACUGGGAUUGAGAUACGGCCCAGACUCCUACGGGAGGCAGCAGUCGAGAAUAGUCUACAAUGGCCGAAAGGCUGAUAGUGCGACGCCGCGUGAACGAAGAAGCCCUUCGGGGUGUAAAGUUCUUUUAUAUGUGAGCAGUGCUUUCUAUGUGAACAGCAUAGGGAGAGAGAUAUUAGCAUAUGAAUAAGCAACGGCUAACUCCGUG
rnacentral:rRNA from 1 species